AUGCACUCAAUUUUUCUAAGAACUGUAUGUGCAAGCACAACCCCCAUGUUUUGCUACGAAGAAAGUGCUAGACGCCCUGUCGACCGAAACAACGAACCCAAAACACCCGACUGCACGGCACGACAACAUCGAAACGUUGCCGGGAGGCGUUGCAACGGGAGAAAGAAUAUCCUUGAACCCACGCAUCUACACAGUUGCUUCUAUCUGGUUGUUGCACCUCUUCGAACGCAAAUCAGCAACGGCCUGCAGUCAUGUUAUCUCAUUCAGGUCUGUAGCAUUUAG
rnacentral:rRNA from 1 species